rnacentral:rRNA from 1 species
UGAAGCGGCAAAAGCUCAAAUUUGAAAUCUGGUACCUUUGGUGCCCGAGUUGUAAUUUGGAGAGUACCACUUUGGGACUGUACUUUGCCUAUGUUCCUUGGAACAGGACGUCAUGGAGGGUGAGAAUCCCGUGUGGCGAGGGUGUCAGUUCUUUGUAAAGGGUGCUCGAAGAGUCGAGUUGUUUGGGAAUGCAGCUCUAAGUGGGUGGUAAAUUCCAUCUAAAGCUAAAUACAGGCGAGAGACCGAUAGCGAACAAGUACAGUGAUGGAAAGAUGAAAAGAACUUUGAAAAGAGAGUGAAAAAGUACGUGAAAUUGUUGAAAGGGAAGGGCAUUUGAUCAGACAUGGUGUUUUGCGCCCCUUGCCUCUCGUGGGCUUGGGACUCUCGCAGCUCACUGGGCCAGCAUCGGUUUUGGCGGCCGGAAAAAACCUAGGGAAUGUGGCUCUGCGCCUCGGUGUAGAGUGUUAUAGCCCUGGGGAAUACGGCCAGCCGGGACCGAGGACUGCGAUACUUGUUAUCUAGGAUGCUGGCAUAAUGGUUAUAUGCCGCCCGUCUU